rnacentral:tRNA from 1 species
UCCUUUCUAAGGAUAUCGGCGGAAAGCGCCCUGAUACUUCGGUAUCGGGAAGAGCUUCCUCCAUUCCAAAGAACAUUUGCCGCCGUCCUCAUGUCCCUUCAUCAACUGGUCCACAGCCGCAAGGUUGUGGUAGCCUGAGUGGCUCACGCCGCCCGCGGCCCUUGUGGCCGGUCGGGUUUGAGUGGGCCUGUAGCUCAGUUGGUUAGAGCGCACCCCUGAUAAGGGUGAGGUCGGUGGUUCGAAUCCACCCAGGCCCACCAGCAUUUUGGCGUAAUGGGGCCUUAGCUCAGCUGGGAGAGCGGUUGCUUUGCAAGCAUCAGGUCAUCGGUUCGAUCCCGAUAGGCUCCACCAAAUCGCAGGAAGAAAGACGCAGUAGCGAAGCUACAGCGCACUCUUCCAAGAUCAGCCAGCGCUGCAAAGCGCGCCCAUAAGGCGCAGCUUGGCUGCGACUGACGGGUGCGCGACAGGGCAAGACGCUCGACCAAAACAUCCAGAUGAUGAAGAGAAACGGUUCCGCUUCGGCGGAAAUUGAGGAGUACGCUCCUCGUAUUUGACAUUGUGAAUGGGUUCUUAAAAUCGAUGCCGUAAAUACGGCGCAUCGGUUUGAACGACGAGAUCGAGAAGGUUCGCCUUCGGAAUCGGAUUGGACAGAUCGUGUGCGUCGCUAGAUUAUUAGGCUGAGCAUUUUAAUCAUCCGCACCAAGAUACUGUGACUUCGCUGCUCUGCCGAGUUUUGGUUGGUCGAAAGAUCAACCCAGCGUUGUCGUUGGUGGUGCGGACUCUCAAGCGUAAGGUAAGGGCAAUUCGUGGAUGCCUUGGCGCAUACAGGCGAUGAAGGACGUGGCACGCUGCGAUAAGCGUCGGUGA